CAGUCGUGUGAUUGUACGGUUCAU
rnacentral:miRNA from 1 species